rnacentral:sRNA from 1 species
UUUGGCCGAGGCGUAGCGGCCGCGGGCAUCUCCGAAUUCGGCGAGCACCCGGGCACCGAGGAUGACGCCUAUCCCGGGUUGA